GGCUGUUGCGAUGAGGAUAUUAUGCUCCCUCUUCUGAAGGCAUUGAGGACGCUCGCUGGCAGAAUCGAACCAAUUAUUAAAGCCACCACUGAGUAA
rfam:Oryza sativa Japonica Group DNA, chromosome 3, cultivar: Nipponbare, complete sequence.